rnacentral:rRNA from 1 species
CCUACGGGUGGCAGCAGUGAGGAAUAUUGGUCAAUGGGCGCAGGCCUGAACCAGCCAAGUCGCGUGAGGGAAGACUGCCCUAUGGGUUGUAAACCUCUUUUAUCAGGGAAGAAUAAUAAUUACGUGUAGUUAGAUGACAGUACCCUAAGAAUAAGCAUCGGCUAACUCCGUGCCAGCAGCCGCGGUAAUACGGAGGAUGCGAGCGUUAUCCGGAUUUAUUGGGUUUAAAGGGUGCGUAGGCGGUAUUUUAAGUUAGUGGUAAAACGUCGGGGCUUCACCUUGUAUGGCCAUUGAAACUGGAGUACUAGAGUACAGACGAGGUAGGCGGAAUAAGUUAAGUAGCGGUGAAAUGCUUAGAUAUAACUUAGAACCCCGAUAGCGAAGGCAGCUUACCGGACUGUUACUGACGCUGAAGCACGAGAGCGUGGGUAGCGAACAGGAUUAGAUACCCUUGUAGUC